rnacentral:pre_miRNA from 1 species
AGUACGGGAGGAUUUUUUCCAGUCAGGCUCCUGGCUAAAGUCCAGAUCUUAGCUGGGUUUAGCCAAAGCCUGACUUUAAACAACCACCG